CGGCGUGCUUAACACAUGCAAGUCGAACGGAAAGGCCCUGCUUGCAGGGUACUCGAGUGGCGAACGGGUGAGUAACACGUGGGUGAUCUGCCCUGCACUUCGGGAUAAGCUUGGGAAACUGGGUCUAAUACCGGAUAGGAACCAUCUUUAGUGUGGUGGUUGGAAAGUUUUUUCGGUGUAGGAUGAGCUCGCGGCCUAUCAGCUUGUUGGUGGGGUAAUGGCCUACCAAGGCGGCGACGGGUAGCCGGCCUGAGAGGGUGUACGGCCACAUUGGGACUGAGAUACGGCCCAGACUCCUACGGGAGGCAGCAGUGGGGAAUAUUGCACAAUGGGCGCAAGCCUGAUGCAGCGACGCCGCGUGGGGGAUGAAGGCCUUCGGGUUGUAAACUCCUUUCGCUAGGGACGAAGCUUUUUGGUGACGGUACCUAGAUAAGAAGCACCGGCUAACUACGUGCCAGCAGCCGCGGUAAUACGUAGGGUGCGAGCGUUGUCCGGAAUUACUGGGCGUAAAGGGCUCGUAGGUGGUUUGUCGCGUCGUCUGUGAAAUUCUGGGGCUUAACUCCGGGCGUGCAGGCGAUACGGGCAUAACUUGAGUGCUGUAGGGGUAACUGGAAUUCCUGGUGUAGCGGUGAAAUGCGCAGAUAUCAGGAGGAACACCGAUGGCGAAGGCAGGUUACUGGGCAGUUACUGACGCUGAGGAGCGAAAGCAUGGGUAGCGAACAGG
rnacentral:rRNA from 1 species